CCUACGGGUGGCUGCAGUGAGGAAUAUUGGUCAAUGGGCGGGAGCCUGAACCAGCCAAGUCGCGUGAGGGAAGACGGUCCUACGGAUUGUAAACCUCUUUUGCCGGGGAGCAACGGGGUCCUUGCGAGGGCCCGAUGAGAGUACCCGGAGAAAAAGCAUCGGCUAACUCCGUGCCAGCAGCCGCGGUAAUACGGAGGAUGCGAGCGUUAUCCGGAUUUAUUGGGUUUAAAGGGUGCGUAGGCGGGCUGUUAAGUCAGCGGUCAAAUGUCGGGGCUCAACCCCGGCCUGCCGUUGAAACUGGCGGCCUCGAGUGGGCGAGAAGUAUGCGGAAUUCCGUGUGUAGCGGUGAAAUGCGUAGAUAUACGGAGGAACACCAGUGGCGAAGGCGGCCUGCUGGACAUUAACUGACGCUGAGGCGCGAAAGCGUGGGGAGCAAACAGGAUUAGAUACCCGAGUAGUC
rnacentral:rRNA from 1 species